rnacentral:rRNA from 1 species
GUGGGGAAUUUUGGACAAUGGGCGCAAGCCUGAUCCAGCAAUGCCGCGUGUGUGAAGAAGGCCUUUUGGUUGUAAAGCACUUUAAGCGAGGAGGAGGCUACCGAGAUUAAUACUCUUGGAUAGUGGACGUUACUCGCAGAAUAAGCACCGGCUAACUCUGUGCCAGCAGCCGCGGUAAUACAGAGGGUGCAAGCGUUAAUCGGAUUUACUGGGCGUAAAGCGCGCGUAGGUGGCCAAUUAAGUCAAAUGUGAAAUCCCCGUGCUUAACUUGGGAAUUGCAUUCGAUACUGGUUGGCUAGAGUAUGGGAGAGGAUGGUAGAAUUCCAGGUGUAGCGGUGAAAUGCGUAGAGAUCUGGAGGAAUACCGAUGGCGAAGGCAGCCAUCUGGCCUAAUACUGACACUGAGGUGCGAAAGCAUGGGGAGCAAACAGGAUUAGAUACCCGAGUAGUCC